UGAUAAAGCGUGGACUUGCUUGGUGA
rnacentral:sRNA from 1 species